GGCGGCCUGGCGUAAUGGCAACGCGUCUGACUUCGAUCGUCAGUAAUCAGAAGAUUGCAGGUUCGAGUCCUGCGGUCGUCA